rnacentral:Y_RNA from 1 species
AGUUGGUCCGAGAGUGGUGGGUUAUCGAUUGUUAAUGUCCUUUUCCCCCCACCACUGUGUUUGACUAUGUUUCC